UACAGAGGUCCCGAGCGUUGUUCGGAUUCAUUGGGCGUAAAGGGUGCGUAGGCGGCGGGGCAAGUCUGAUGUGAAAUCCCGGGGCUCAACCCCGGAACUGCAUUGGAUACUGCCUUGCUAGAGUACUGGAGAGGGAACUGGAAUUUACGGUGUAGCAGUGAAAAUGCGUAGAGAUCGUAAGGAAGGCCAGUGGCGAAGGCGAGUUCCUGGACAGUUACUGACGGUGAGGCACGAAGGCCAGGGGAGCAAACGGG
rnacentral:rRNA from 1 species